UACGAAGGGGGCUAGCGUUGCUCGGAAUCACUGGGCUUACAGAGUUCGUAGGCGGUCUGGAAAGUUGGGUGUGAAAUCCCUCGGCUCAACCGAGGAACUGCGCUCAAAACUACCCGACUCGAGGGAGAUAGAGGAAAGCGGAACUGAUGGUGGAGCGGUGAAAUGCGUUGAUAUCAUCAGGAACACCGGUGGCGAAGGCGGCUUUCUGGGUCUUACCUGACGCUGAGGAACGAAAGCUAGGGGAGCAAACAGG
rnacentral:rRNA from 1 species